ACGAUAUUCCGCUGGCAUAUAAAUGUGUAUGAAUUUCUG
rnacentral:misc_RNA from 1 species